AUUGAACGCUGGCGGCAUGCUUUACACAUGCAAGUCGAACGGUAACAGGUCUUCGGAUGCUGACGAGUGGCGAACGGGUGAGUAAUACAUCGGAACGUGCCUAGUAGUGGGGGAUAACUACUCGAAAGAGUAGCUAAUACCGCAUGAGAUCUACGGAUGAAAGCAGGGGACCUUCGGGCCUUGUGCUACUAGAGCGGCGGAUGGCAGAUUAGGUAGUUGGUGGGGUAAAGGCUUACCAAGCCUGCGAUCUGUAGCUGGUCUGAGAGGACGACCAGCCACACUGGGACUGAGACACGGCCCAGACUCCUACGGGAGGCAGCAGUGGGGAAUUUUGGACAAUGGGCGAAAGCCUGGUCCAGCAAUGCCGCGUGCAGGAUGAAGGCCCUCGGGUUGUAAACUGCUUUUGUACGGAACGAAAAGCCUGGGGCUAAUAUCCCCGGGUCAUGACGGUACCGUAAGAAUAAGCACCGGCUAACUACGUGCCAGCAGCCGCCGUAA
rnacentral:rRNA from 1 species